rnacentral:rRNA from 1 species
AACGAACGCUGGCGGUGUGCUUAACACAUGCAAGUCGAACGAGAAAGUUUCCUUCGGGAAGCUAGUAAAGUGGCGCAAGGGUGAGUAACACGUGAAUAAUCUGCCCUCGAGAUCGGGAUAACCUGAGGAAACUUAGGCUAAUACCGGAUAAGACCACAUUUCAUAUGGAAUGUGGGAAAAGGAGUCUCAAUCUUCACUCGAGGAUGAGUUCGCGGACCAUUAGCUUGUUGGUGAGAUAAAAGCUCACCAAGGCAACGAUGGUUAGCCGGCCUGAGAGGGCGAUCGGCCACACUGGAACUGAGACACGGUCCAGACUCCUACGGGAGGCAGCAGUGGGGAAUAUUGCGCAAUGGGCGAAAGCCUGACGCAGCAACACCGUGUGAGCGAUGAAGGCCUUAGGGUUGUAAAGCUCUGUCAAAUGGGAAGAAUUAUGACGGUACCAUUAGAGGAAGCCCCGGCUAACUCCGUGCCAGCAGCCGCGGUAAUACGGAGGGGGCAAGCGUUGUUCGGAAUUAUUGGGCGUAAAGCGUAUGUAGGCGGCCGAGUUAGUCAAGCGUGUAAGCCCGUGGCUCAACCACGGAAUUGCGUUUGAAACUACCCGGCUUGAGUACAGGAGAGGAAAGCGGAAUUCCCAGUGUAGCGGUGAAAUGCAUUGAUAUUGGGAAGAACAUCUGUGGCGAAGGCGGCUUUCUGGUCUGUUACUGACGCUGAGAUACGAAAGCCAGGGGAGCGAACGGGAUUAGAUACCCCGGUAGUCCUGGCUGUAAACGAUGGGCACUAGGCGCAGGAGGUAUCGAUCCCCUCUGUGCCGUAGCUAACGCAUUAAGUGCCCCGCCUGGGGAGUACGGUCGCAAGGCUGAAACUCAAAGGAAUUGACGGGGGCCCGCACAAGCGGUGGAGCAUGUGGUUUAAUUCGACGCAACGCGAAGAACCUUACCUGGACUUGACAUGCACAGGAAAGCCAUAGAGAUAUGGCCCCUCUUCGGAGUCUGUGUGCAGGUGCUGCAUGGCUGUCGUCAGCUCGUGUCGUGAGAUGUUGGGUUAAGUCCCGCAACGAGCGCAACCCCUGCCAUUAGUUGCCAUCAGGUUAUGCUGGGGAACUCUAAUGGGACUGCCGGUGAUAAACCGGAGGAAGGUGGGGAUGACGUCAAGUCCUCAUGGCCUUUAUGUCCAGGGCUACACACGUGCUACAAUGGCUGGUACAAAGAGUCGCAAGACCGCGAGGUGGAGCUAAUCUCAAAAAACCAGUCUCAGUUCGGAUUGGAGUCUGCAACUCGACUCUAUGAAGUUGGAAUCGCUAGUAAUCGUGAAUCAGCAUGCCACGGUGAAUACGUUCCCGGGCCUUGUACACACCGCCCGUCACACCAUGAAAGCCGAUUGUACCGGAAGUCACGAUGCUAACCCGCAAGGGAAGCUGAUGCCUAUGGUAUGGUUGGUGAUCGGGGUGAAGUCGUAACAAGGUAGCCGUAGGGGAACCUGCGGCUGGAUCACCUCCUUUCUAAGGAGUAAUCGGCUCGUUAAACAGUCGCAUUCAUCUCUUAGAUCGAUACCCACAAAUGACGUUGAGGCGCCUAUUCUUUCUUUUUUUUCUCCGGAUCCUCGGAGGGCUUAUAAGAUGAUUGAACUUAAGUCUAAUGGGCCUAUAGCUCAGUUGGUCAGAGCGCACGCCUGAUAAGCGUGAGGUCGAUAGUUCAAAUCUAUCUAGGCCCACCAAAAUAUGUCCCGCUUGAUUAAGCAGGGACACGGAUCAUAAAAGGAACACCAUGGGGGUGUAGCUCAGCUGGGAGAGCACCUGCCUUGCACGCAGGGGGUCGACGGUUCGA